AAAAUUUUGAUUUAAUUUUAGUGUUUUAAUUUAGACAAAAUAGUAUAUCAUAGUAUCAUAUGUUAUUGUGUGCAUUGUUUUUCAGUUAAAGUAAUUAUUACAUUAUUCAGCAUGGCUGCAUCAAAUUGAUCAAAGUUGACAGUAAAGACUUCUACAUAAAACCCCCCCCAACCCCAAACAUCUGAAAGCUUUUGUGUAAGAAAGUAUAAAAAGUUAAGUAUAAUUAUCAGUAUAAAUGAAUGAAUGAAUGAAUGAGUGAGUGAAUGAAUGAAUGAAUGAAUGAACACAGUAGCACAGUGUAUAAUUAAAGAAAUAUUGUACUACUGCACUGAAUUAUCAUGAGCGAAAUAAAAUGUUUUUAAUAUACCAAAUUAAAGUACAUGAUUUCUACCUUGUGUCCCUCAAGUGAACAGUUUUCCUUGGCUGUUAUCGUAUUUUUAUGACAGAAAGAACCAACAGUUAGUUGACAAGGGGGGUGUAAAUAAUUCAUGUUUCUCUGAGGAGAAGAGAGGGUUGUUGCUUUUUGUCUUGUUUUGUUUUUCAAGUCCUCUCACACUACUGAUAUAUACAGAUUUUAUAUUUGAUGUCAGAAAGCAAGUUUAUGGUGUUGUGGGCUAUUUUUGCAUACACCGUUUGUGAAUAUUGUCAAUGUAAAUUGUGCCUUCGACAGAAUUUUGCAUAAUUUGCAAAGAUAAAACAGAAUCGUCUUCUAUUUGAAAAUACUAUAAAAAAAUAAGUUAUAUAUAUAUGCAGGAUCACAGGUAAGAUGGGACUGGAUCAUAUUAUGUAUGCAUAUACAGUAUGUAUCCAAUGUAAAAAGAAUCUGCUCUUCUGUUAUGUUACAGAGUCAACAAGCACCAGCUGCUUUUGAUGGACAGGGGAUCCAGCAGUGUUUGCCCAGCUUCCAGUGAAUAUUGACGAAAUUGGAUUCAGAGUGACAAUUGAAGAGGGAUCUGGGGGCCGGCAGUUUGGUCAUUAAUGACCUCUCCAUAACAGGUGUCUCGCCUAUCUGACAGAAAGGAGGAGGAGAAGCCAGUUCUGUGAAGAACAAUGGAAGAGAGCUGCAAUCCAAAGCCUCAUGAAUAGCUGAAAACCUAAAUCUAACCUGCAGUCUUAUUUUUCUGAAAAUUGCAUGUUUUAUCUGUCAGAUCACUUAACUGAAAUUGUAUAGGUAUAAUUUACAAGUGAUAGCUACUACAUGCUCAGUAAUAAAUUUUUUCAGCCCAUUCAAUCAAGGACACUCUAUACAUAAUUAUACAACAGUUACAAUCGUUUUGGUCCUCUACACAUGGUAUAUUUUUUUUAUAUCUGAACAGCAGCAUUACAUGGUUUAUCACUCAAAUCUUUGGUGCCCUUUAAAAAAAUGGAACAAUUAAAACAAUUUUCAAUUAGAACUUGGUAGUAAAUUUUACAAAUAAGUAUGUUAAAAUUAAAUAUUAAUAAAGAAUAAUUCAUAAAGAAAAGGCAAGAAACACAUUGAAUUAAACAUGACAUAUCAAAGUAGAAUGACUAAAAUAGUAUUUUCUUGUGAAAUAUAUACAUAUAUGUAUGAUUCAGACUGUUGAUGCUACUUUUGCUUCUUUUUUAGCUAUUUUUGUUAGCGAAAUAGUAUAGUAUUGUGUCUAAAAUGUAACUUAGUCAAUAUCAUGUAUAAAAUAUAGUUAAACAAUAUUUCUUAAAUCAGUGCGCAAAUUAUGCAGUUACUUUCAAGGUGG
ensembl:lncRNA